AUCCUUUUUUAGUUCAUAAGCAUGAUUGAGUGUUCUUGCUUUCGCAUGACUGUGUGCCUCCCUCAAACCUUGGUACAGUGUUCGCACAUUACCCAUCUGAUU